GGUUCUGUAGUGUAAUGGUUAUCACGUUCACCUCCCACACAAAUGGUUCUUGGUUCAAAUCUGAGUGGAAACA